GGGACACGUGGUAUCCUGUCUGAAUAUGGGGGGACCAUCCUCCAAGGCUAAAUACUCCUGACUGACCGAUAGUGAACCAGUACCGUGAGGGAAAGGCGAAAAGAACCCCGGCGAGGGGAGUGAAAAAGAACCUGAAACCGUGUACGUACAAGCAGUGGGAGCACCCUUUGGGGUGUGACUGCGUACCUUUUGUAUAAUGGGUCAGCGACUUAUAUUCUGUAGCAAGGUUAACCGAAUAGGGGAGCCGGAGGGAAACCGAGUCUUAAUUGGGCGUUAAGUUGCAGGGUAUAGACCCGAAACCCGGUGAUCUAGCCAUGGGCAGGUUGAAGGUUGGGUAACACUAACUGGAGGACCGAACCGACUAAUGUUGAAAAAUUAGCGGAUGACCUGUGGCUGGGGGUGAAAGGCCAAUCAAACCGGGAGAUAGCUGGUUCUCCCCGAAAGCUAUUUAGGUAGCGCCUCGUGAAUUCAUCUCCGGGGGUAGAGCACUGUUUCGGCUAGGGGGCCAUCCCGGCUUACCAACCCGAUGCAAACUGCGAAUACCGGAGAAUGUUAUCACGGGAGACACACGGCGGGUGCUAACGUCCGUCGUGAAGAGGGAAACAACCCAGACCGCCAGCUAAGGUCCCAAAGUCAUGGUUAAGUGGGAAACGAUGUGGGAAGGCCCAGACAGCCAGGAUGUUGGCUUAGAAGCAGCCAUCAUUUAAAGAAAGCGUAAUAGCUCACUGGUCGAGUCGGCCUGCGCGGAAGAUGUAACGGGGCUAAACCAUGCACCGAAGCUGCGGCAGCGACACUAUGUGUUGUUGGGUAGGGGAGCGUUCUGUAAGCCUGUGAAGGUGUGUCGUGAGGCAUGCUGGAGGUAUCAGAAGUGCGAAUGCUGACAUAAGUAACGAUAAAGCGGGUGAAAAGCCCGCUCGCCGGAAGACCAAGGGUUCCUGUCCAACGUUAAUCGGGGCAGGGUGAGUCGACCCCUAAGGCGAGGCCGAAAGGCGUAGUCGAUGGGAAACGGGUUAAUAUUCCCGUACUUGGUGUUACUGCGAAGGGGGGACGGAGAAGGCUAUGUUGGCCGGGCGACGGUUGUCCCGGUUUAAGCGUGUAGGUGUGUGUUCCAGGUAAAUCCGGUUCACUUUAACACUGAGGCGUGACGACGAGGCACUACGGUGCUGAAGCAACAAAUGCCCUGCUUCCAGGAAAAGCCUCUAAGCAUCAGGUAACAUCAAAUCGUACCCCAAACCGACACAGGUGGUCAGGUAGAGAAUACCAAGGCGCUUGAGAGAACUCGGGUGAAGGAACUAGGCAAAAUGGUGCCGUAACUUCGGGAGAAGGCACGCUGACACGUAGGUGAAGUGAUUUACUCAUGGAGCUGAAGUCAGUCGAAGAUACCAGCUGGCUGCAACUGUUUAUUAAAAACACAGCACUGUGCAAACACGAAAGUGGACGUAUACGGUGUGACGCCUGCCCGGUGCCGGAAGGUUAAUUGAUGGGGUCAGCGCAAGCGAAGCUCCUGAUCGAAGCCCCGGUAAACGGCGGCCGUAACUAUAACGGUCCUAAGGUAGCGAAAUUCCUUGUCGGGUAAGUUCCGACCUGCACGAAUGGCGUAAUGAUGGCCAGGCUGUCUCCACCCGAGACUCAGUGAAAUUGAACUCGCUGUGAAGAUGCAGUGUACCCGCGGCAAGACGGAAAGACCCCGUGAACCUUUACUAUAGCUUGACACUGAACAUUGAGCCUUGAUGUGUAGGAUAGGUGGGAGGCUUUGAAGUGUGGACGCCAGUCUGCAUGGAGCCGACCUUGAAAUACCACCCUUUAAUGUUUGAUGUUCUAACGUGGACCCGUGAUCCGGGUUGCGGACAGUGUCUGGUGGGUAGUUUGACUGGGGCGGUCUCCUCCUAAAGAGUAACGGAGGAGCACGAAGGUUGGCUAAUCCUGGUCGGACAUCAGGAGGUUAGUGCAAUGGCAUAAGCCAGCUUGACUGCGAGCGUGACGGCGCGAGCAGGUGCGAAAGCAGGUCAUAGUGAUCCGGUGGUUCUGAAUGGAAGGGCCAUCGCUCAACGGAUAAAAGGUACUCCGGGGAUAACAGGCUGAUACCGCCCAAGAGUUCAUAUCGACGGCGGUGUUUGGCACCUCGAUGUCGGCUCAUCACAUCCUGGGGCUGAAGUAGGUCCCAAGGGUAUGGCUGUUCGCCAUUUAAAGUGGUACGCGAGCUGGGUUUAGAACGUCGUGAGACAGUUCGGUCCCUAUCUGCCGUGGGCGCUGGAGAACUGAGGGGGGCUGCUCCUAGUACGAGAGGACCGGAGUGGACGCAUCACUGGUGUUCGGGUUGUCAUGCCAAUGGCACUGCCCGGUAGCUAAAUGCGGAAGAGAUAAGUGCUGAAAGCAUCUAAGCACGAAACUUGCCCCGAGAUGAGUUCUCCCUGAGACUUAAAGUCUCCUGAAGGAACGUUGAAGACGACGACGUUGAUAGGCCGGGUGUGUAAGCGCAGCGAUGCGUUGAGCUAACCGGUACUAAUGAACCGUGAGGCUUAACCUUACA
rnacentral:rRNA from 1 species